CCUCGGGAGGCAGCAGUGAGGAAUAUUGGACAAUGGACGAAAGUCUGAUCCAGCUAUGCCGCGUGCAGGAUGACGGCCCUAUGGGUUGUAAACUGCUUUUAUACAGGAAGAAAAACUCCGACGUGUCGGAACUUGACGGUACUGUAAGAAUAAGGAUCGGCUAACUCCGUGCCAGCAGCCGCGGUAAUACGGAGGAUCCAAGCGUUAUCCGGAAUCAUUGGGUUUAAAGGGUCCGUAGGCGGUUUUUUAAGUCAGAGGUGAAAUCCUGCAGCUCAACUGUAGAAUUGCCUUUGAUACUGAAAGACUUGAGUUAUUGUGAAGUGGUUAGAAUGUGUGGUGUAGCGGUGAAAUGCAUAGAUAUCACACAGAAUACCAAUUGCGAAGGCAGAUCACUAACAAUAUACUGACGCUCAGGGACGAAAGCGUGGGUAGCGAACAGGAUUAGAUACCCUGGUAGUCCACGCCGUAAACGAUGGAUACUAGCUGUAUGUCUACUUCAGGUAGAUGUGUGGCUAAGCGAAAGUGAUAAGUAUCCCACCUGGGGAGUACGAUCGCAAGAUUGAAACUCAAAUGAAUUGACGG
rnacentral:rRNA from 1 species